rnacentral:rRNA from 1 species
GACGAACGCUGGCGGCGUGCUUAACACAUGCAAGUCGAACGGAAAGGCCCUGCUUUUGUGGGGUGCUCGAGUGGCGAACGGGUGAGUAACACGUGAGUAACCUGCCCUUGACUUUGGGAUAACUUCAGGAAACUGGGGCUAAUACCGGAUAGGAGCUCCUGCUGCAUGGUGGGGGUUGGAAAGUUUCGGCGGUUGGGGAUGGACUCGCGGCUUAUCAGCUUGUUGGUGGGGUAGUGGCUUACCAAGGCUUUGACGGGUAGCCGGCCUGAGAGGGUGACCGGCGACGGGGGGAGCGGGAUGCGGCCGCGAUGGGUAGGGGGGGGAGCAGGGGGGUAGAGUGCACACCGGGAGGAUGCAUGAGGCAGCAGUGGCGCGUGCGGCAUGACGGCCUGCGGCUUGUAGCACGCUUGCGGCGGGGGGGGAGCGUGAGGUCAGGUAGUGGGUAAAGACCCACGGGUUAACUGCGUGCAAGCCGCCGAGGUAAAAGACGGAACAGCCCACCUUGAUC